UACGUAGGGUGCAAGCGUUAAUCGGAAUACUGGGCGUAAAGCGUGCGCAGGCGGUUAUGUAAGACAGGUGUGAAAUCCCCGGGCUUAACCUGGGAACUGCAUUUGUGACUGCAUAGCUAGAGUACGGUAGAGGGGAUGGAAUUCCGCGUGUAGCAGUGAAAUGCGUAGAUAUGCGGAGGAACACCGAUGGCGAAGGCAAUCCCCUGGACCUGUACUGACGCUCAUGCACGAAAGCGUGGGGAGCAAACAGG
rnacentral:rRNA from 1 species